UUUUUUUUUUUUUUUUUUUUUUUUUUUUGAGAUGGAGUUUUGCUCUUGUUACCCAGGCUGGAGUGCAAUGGUGCGAUCUUGGCUCACCGCAACCUCCACCUCCUGGGAUCAGGCAACAACUCUCCUGCCUCAGCCUCCUGAGUAGCUGGGAUUACAGGCACGCGCCACCAUGCCCAGCUAAUUUUUUGUAUUUUUAGUAGAGACUGGGUUUCACCAUGUUGACCAGGAUGGUCUCGAUCUGUUGACCUCGUGAUCCACCCGCCUCGGCCUCCCAAAGUGCUGGGAUUACAGGCGUGAGCCACCACACCCAGCCAGGAUCAAGUCUUUUUGAAAGAGUUUAUGGAAAACAAUCCAAUGCUGGUACCCACUAUUGCAGCUACCAGAUGCUGAUACCCACUGUACCAGCUACCAGAAGGCUGACACCCUCUGCAUCAGACACCAGGAGCCUCAAGCGACGUCUCGCCCAAGGAAGACUCCACAAAUAUUGCAGGAAUGAAUGAACAUGAAAGACUGUGGCAUAUUAAGGACAACUGUGAUGGCAUUUGUGCACUGGAAGAUCAUACACAGAACAACGAUGGGCUGGACAGAGCUGGGUUCGAAAUCAGACUCCAGACUUAGU